GGCCCGCCCGCGCGCUGCUUGGCGCCCAGCUUCGCUGCCGGCCAUCGCCUCGCCGGACCGCGCCGGGGGCUCACCCAGGUAGAAGAAUUCACCCCAAGACGGCACGGCUUCAAGAGCAAGACCUUUAAGAAACCCAGGGCCUGUGGGGUCUGCAAGCAGAUUGUCGUGGGCCGGGGCAGCUCAUGCCGAGCCUGCAAGUUUUCCUGCCACAAGAAAUGUGAAGCCGAGGUGCUGACGCCCUGCUGUGUACACGUGGACCUGCACCAGGUAAGCCCCUUGCCUGUCUGGGGCCGUCCAGCUGUGGAGUGGGCAGUGCUCCCGGCCCCGCCCCGUCCAUCACCAGAGCUCCUGUUGGGUGUAGACUGCUGAGGACUGCCCUGUCCACUCAGCUACUUUAGGGUUCACUUCCUGGAGGCCUAGUUUGCUGAACUGGACAUUGGCUGUGUCACUUGUGGCAGAGUGCAAUGGCUGCUGAACAGUCAGCUGGAUGAGUGCCGUGUGUGUGUGUGUGUGUGUGUGUGUGUGUGUGUGUGUGUGUGAGAAAGGUUGAUUUAUCUAUUAGAAAGGCAGAACUGCAGAGCAAGGGAGACACAAAAAGGGCUCUUCUGCCUGCUGGUUCACUCCCCAGACAACCUAAGCCUGGAGCGUGGAACUCCAUCAGGUCAUUAGCUGGGAGCUGGUUGUGAAGUAGAGCAGCUGGGACUGGGCUAGGCUCCCAUAUGAGAUGCCAGCACAGCAGGUAGCGGCUUACUGUGCUACUCCACAACGCUGACCCCACCAUGUGUUUUUAUCAGAUGGAAGUCAUAUGGGUAACGGUUUGUCUUUGCUUGUUGUUUGGGCAGUUGCUCUGUGGUCUAUUUAUUUACUUAAGAUUUAUUUUAUUUUUAUUGGAAAAUCAGAAAGGAGGAAAGACAGAGAGGAAGAUCU